rnacentral:rRNA from 1 species
UACGUAGGGGGCAAGCGUUGUUCGGAAUUACUGGGCGUAAAGGGCGCGUAGGCGGCAUGGCAAGUCAGGAGUGAAAGGCCUGGGCUCAACCGAGGAACUGCUUUUGAUACUGCCAAGCUAGAGUGCGGAAGGGGCAACUGGAAUUCCCAGUGUAGCGGUGAAAUGCGUAGAUAUUGGGAAGAACACCUGAGGCGAAGGCGGCCCACUGGAUCGGUACUGACGCUGAGGUGCGAAAGCGUGGGGAGCAAACAGG